CGAGAGGAACCCUGAGUGGACACGCUCAUGUUUACUGGUGAUGACGCUCUUUUCUGCAGAACAUCUGACAGGAACAGCACUGCCUGGAAGGAAGCUCAGGAAACACAGGCUUAGCUUCCUCUCUAAAUCAGUUUAUUCUCUUGUGGAUACCAGGGAUGGCAAGGAAGAUGCUUCAUCACGUAGAACAGAGAAGAAAGUGGUUCUGGGAUUAAACUGUUGUUAUAGGGAACUCACAGAACGGCCAAUUCACGCGGACAAAAUCUCUGAGAACUGACAGUUACCGUUGUGUAACUUCAUAAUGGGAUGGCGAGGAUGGGCCCUGGGCUCGUUUUUAUAUACACUGUGAAAGUUGGCAAUAGCAGUCUAUCCCUCGGUAUUUUAGAUCAAUUAUGUAAAGUUAGAAUCAUUUCGAUUUCAUUUCUCUCAAUCCACCAGAGUUGAUUUUUAAAAAUUCAAGAUUCACUCAUUUGAUUUAAGUAUCACUAGUGUGAAGUAUUUCCAUCCUCCUUCUACUGGAAGCGAAUUUCCCGGUUAGGACACGGCUUCACUAGAGACGAGUAACAGCGGCUGUAACUGGAUGCUGUGUGAUUUCAUCACGCUGUGAAAACACUUCGACCAGUCCAAAUUGGUCUAUGAAGGUUUCUUUCUGUUUAUUCCAGUUCCAGCUCUCCUAAUCACUCCAGCUCCUGUGUUUGCUGGGAUUUUGUGAUAUCUCUGGAUUCUGACACAUGCUAUGAUUCAGUGCCAAAUUCCAUUUCCUAAGUUAUUGAUAGAGGAUAUAGUUCUGAUUAUAAUAUGUUGACUUUUAAGAUAUGGAGAAAGUCCGGCAUCCAUUCAACAAUUACGGCCAGUUGAGUAUCCUAUAUCCACAGUGUUCUCUUUGUUUCUUCUCCAUUCCCUGAGCCGGGGAAACAUCUCCACACAUGGGAAGGGCAUCCUCUUGGUGUUGGGACGGGCAGGUGGCUGACCAAGCACGUGGUUCAGAUUCUAGCCUGUGGACCAGAGCACAUUCAGAUGAACCCCAUCUAGGUCCCAUCUGGAGAAAACGUUGGGCUGGAGUGAGAAGAAGGGACUGUCCAUCUGGUUCUGCCCUUUACUGCUCUGCGUCUCAGCCCACCAUGCUGAGGGAAAGAAGGGGAUCACCGCCAGGGAAAACGCCACGGCCCAGAACCCUGCCUCUCGGAGAGGAAAGCCAGAAACACCUCCAGGAAGGGUCUUGGUCUCAGUGACACCAUAUUAAAUUUACUCAUCCCGUUAUAUCUGGGUCCUCACCCAGACCUACUGAACAGUGGACCAACGCGAAAUGACGAUACUCUGGCUACUGCUGUUGCUGUGAGUGUUAGAGCCCUUUGUCUCUGACCUGGGAGUCUCCUGUCUCCUGCCAGCAUCUAAGAAACUUUGACGGGCUGACUCGUUAGCUUCCAAGAAGGGUAAAGUACCAAACCUCUUACUGUUCUUGACAACUUGUUUGUUGUACAAUUGAAGUAUGAAAAAGAAUAUGGAAUAUUUCAAAUUCAGAAAUAUUUAAAAUAAUUCACUUUUAGUUGUAAAAGCCAUCUUAAAAGUGAUUGUUAAAAGUUGCCAGACGUAUAAACAGAAUAAUAAGGUUCGUGAAUUGAACUUUGAAGACUCAAAACAUAACAAAGGAUUUGAAUUUGUAGCUUCCAUAAUUCAAUUUUAAAAAAUCAACAUCCCCUAAGUAAUUUUUUUCUGGCACCAAAGCCCCUGUUAAGGAUGCCAUGAAACUCGUUUAGAUAGUACUGAAC
rnacentral:lncRNA from 1 species